rnacentral:rRNA from 1 species
UACGAAGGGGGCUAGCGUUGUUCGGAAUUACUGGGCGUAAAGCGCGUGUAGGCGGUUGGCCAAGUCGGGGGUGAAAGCCUUGAGCUCAACUCAAGAAAUGCACUCGGUACUGGGUGACUAGAGGACCGGAGAGGAUAGUGGAAUUCCCAGUGUAGUGGUGAAAUACGUAGAGAUUGGGAAGAACACCAGUGGCGAAGGCGGCUAUCUGGACGGUUUCUGACGCUAAGACGCGAAAGCGUGGGGAGCAAACAGG